AUAAAGUCAAGCAAGUAAGGGCGUACGGCGGAUGCCUUGGCCAUAUCAGCCGAUGAAGGACGCGAUAAGCUGCGAAAAGCUGCGGUGAGGUGCAAGUAACCGUUGACCCGCAGGUGUCCGAAUGGGGAAACCCGGCAGCAGGAGUGCUGUCAUCCGAAAGGAAGGGAACCCGGUGAACUGAAACAUCUAAGUAGCCGGAGGAAAAGGAAUCAACAGAGAUACCCUCAGUAGCGGCGAGCGAACGGGGCAGAGCCCAAACCGGGGCGGGAAACCGCUUCGGGGUUGCGGACUGCUAACAAAUGGUUGGACGAAGCAGAACCAGUUGGGAAACUGGGCCAGAGACGGUGAGAGCCCGGUAAGCGUAAGGAAGACCAUGGAGCAGGAUCCAGAGUACCACGGGGCACGAGGAACCUUGUGGGAAGCAGGGGGGACCACCCUCCAAGGCGAAACACUGAUAUGGACCGAUAGCGAAUAGUACCGUGAGGGAACGGUGAAAAGAACCCCGGGAGGGGAAUGAAAGAGAACCUGAAACCGUAUGUCUACAAACAGUCGGAGCGCUUUACAUGCGCGA
rnacentral:rRNA from 1 species